rnacentral:rRNA from 1 species
UACGGGGGGGGUAAGCGUUGUUCGGAAUUACUGGGCGUAAAGGGCUCGUAGGCGGCCAACUAAGUCAGACGUGAAAUCCCUCAGCUUAACUGGGGAACUGCGUCUGAUACUGGAUGGCUUGGAUUUGGGAGAGGAAUGCGGAAUUCCAGGUGUAGCGGUGAAAUGCGUAGAUAUCUGGAGGAACACCGGUGGCGAAGGCGGCUCUCUGGACCGAGACUGACGCUGAGGCGCGAAAGCGUGGGGAGCAAACAGG